AUGACUUUGAAUCAAGGCUGGCAGUUUUCUGAAGCUGUUUGUUUCAAGCAGGAGCCUAAGUGGUAUCUUUCUAUGAUCUGUUGGCCAUUUCAGAUCUUCAGAAAUGUAAUAGUCAACUCAUUAGAAAAAAACAACU
ensembl:snoRNA small nucleolar RNA SNORA2/SNORA34 family